UCCUACGGGAGGCAGCAGUGGGGAAUAUUGCACAAUGGGGGAAACCCUGAUGCAGCCAUGCCGCGUGUGUGAAGAAGGCCUUCGGGUUGUAAAGCACUUUCAGUUGUGAGGAAAAGUUAGUAGUUAAUACCUGCUAGCCGUGACGUUAACAACAGAAGAAGCACCGGCUAACUCCGUGCCAGCAGCCGCGGUAAUACGGAGGGUGCGAGCGUUAAUCGGAAUUACUGGGCGUAAAGCGCACGCAGGCGGUUUGUUAAGCUAGAUGUGAAAGCCCCGGGCUCAACCUGGGAUGGUCAUUUAGAACUGGCAGACUAGAGUCUUGGAGAGGGGAGUGGAAUUCCAGGUGUAGCGGUGAAAUGCGUAGAUAUCUGGAGGAACAUCAGUGGCGAAGGCGACUCCCUGGCCAAAGACUGACGCUCAUGUGCGAAAGUGUGGGUAGCGAACAGGAUUAGAUACCCUGGUAGUCCACACCGUAAACGCUGUCUACUAGCUGUGUGUGCCUUUAAGGCGUGCGUAGCGAAGCUAACGCGCUAAGUAGACCGCCUGGGGAGUACGGCCGCAAGGUAAAACUCAAAUGAAUUGACGG
rnacentral:rRNA from 1 species